CCUACGGGAGGCAGCAGUGGGGAAUUUUGCGCAAUGGGGGAAACCCUGACGCAGCAACGCCGCGUGGAGGAUGAAAUCCCUUGGGAUGUAAACUCCUUUCGAUAGGGAAGAUAAUGACGGUACCUAUAGAAGAAGCCCCGGCUAACUUCGUGCCAGCAGCCGCGGUAAU
rnacentral:rRNA from 1 species